UACGGAGGGUGCGAGCGUUUGUCCGGAAUCACUGGGCGUAAAGGGCGCGUAGGCGGCUUGGGAAGUCCGUGGUGAAAGCCCGAGGCUCAACUUCGGGUCGGCCAUGGAUACUCCUAAGCUCGAGUCGACUAGAGGCUAAUGGAAUUCCGGGUGUAGCGGUGGAAUGCGUAGAGAUCCGGAAGAACACCGGUGGCGAAGGCGGUUAGCUGGGGUAAUGCUGGACACUGAGGCGCGACAGCGUGGGGAGCAAACAGG
rnacentral:rRNA from 1 species